rnacentral:rRNA from 1 species
AUUGAACGCUGGCGGCAUGCUUUACACAUGCAAGUCGGACGAGUGGCGAACGGGUGAGUAACAUAUCGGAAAGUACCGAGUAAUGGGGGAUAACUAAUCGAAAGAUUAGCUAAUACCGCAUAUUAUUCGAGCGGCCGAUAUCUGAUUAGCUGGUUGGUGGGGUAAAGGCCUACCAAGGCGACGAUCAGUAGCGGGUCUGAGAGGAUGAUCCACCACACUGGGACUGGGACACGGCCCAGACUCCUACGGGAGGGAUCAGGGGGGGAUUUUGGACAAUUGGCGCCAGCCUGAUCCAGCCAUGCCGCUGGUCUGAAGAAGGCCUGCGGGGUGUAAAGCUCUGUUAAGCGGGACGCGGUACCGGAAUAGAAAGCCACGGCUAACUACGUGCCAGCCGCCGCGGUAAUAC